AGUACACAAGGAGACAGCCAGAUCCUGCUCCAGCUUUCAGGGCUUUGAUCCUCCUCAUUUGUGGAUUUCGGUUUCCCCCUUUCCCCCUUUCAGCUAAGGAGCUUCACGGAAACACUCCUUGCUGGGGGUAGAUGGGUCAUAACUCCCAAGGAUGCUACUGCAGCAUAAGAGGCCAAUUUGUGGGUGUAUUUUUCGGAGCAGCCUGGUUCAGAAAAAGCAUCGGUCCUCCUCUCUGAACUGGGACGGUUCAAGGAGGGGCUUCCCCAAGUCACAGGUUUUCCCAGGCGCAACGGAGCUCCUCUGUUUGCAAGGCCAAAACUCUUCCCUGUGCAAAAGAAUGGAGCAGACAUGAUGUCUUUAGUGCUGCAACAAGCUUUGUGCAGGAGGGAGCAGAGAGGGAAGGACGGCUAUCUUUUUGCACAAAUGCUAUCAUAGGAGACAAAGCAGGAUAAAGUUGCCCAAGCAACACGACCCCUGAAGAGUAUGCCAUCGGGGUGAGGUCAUUUUUAGGCCUUGUAGCAUCCACUCAACAACUGCAAGACAGGCUGGUGUUAUAUUGGGAGACCCUGGCCUUCAGAUCCCCACACCCAGACUGAGUUCUUUUCUUGCCACAACAAGAAUCCUGCAACUUUUUGUCACAGAAGAAGAACAGAAAGAGAUAGCCCUCGGAAGACCAGGAAGUGACCUCUCCAGACAACGGAAUGACUCCUUCUAUUCUUACAUCUGCGGCUGCGAUCUCCUGGGUGACAUGGAUGCUUGAAUGCACAUGCGUACUCCAUCUGUUUCCCUCCCUAGCACCCCUCUGCAUGGCCUCGGGUGCUGGCAACGCACAAUAUGCCACUGUGCCUUAUAAAUUCCUUGGUAGUUCAUAUACUCCUUUCAUCCUUCCUUCCAACUGAAGAUAUAUGAGCAAUUAUACUUCCAAUUAAAUUAAAUCCCAAGUCCUCUUAGCGUUAUUCACUUCACUUCGUAAAUAAUAAAGGAUGGGGAAGAGUCAGCUCUAAGUUUCUAUUGUGAACCUUUACAAAUAUAAUUUGGACUAACCUUCAGAGGAGGAUUGCCAAAUCAUAAAUGUAGAGAAGAAAACUUUAGAUAAAGAAACCGUAGGCUCCCCUCCCCCCACCUUCUUUUGCACUGAAUUAAAUCUUAAGUUCUUGCAGUUGGUUUGUUCGACAGUUUGUGAUCUCACCUCUUCUAGCACGUGCCUGUACUUUAGUCCAAUUAAGCUCUAAUUAACAGGAGAACCUCUGCUGCUUAAUGGCAGCAUGGGAGGGUUUUAGACAGGCGAUGUGCUUUUGCAUGCCGGAGCGAGAGCGAGGUACUGAGAUGAACUGCAAGUGAAGCCCAUUCCCCCACCCCACCCGUCCCUGGGAGGAAUUUGCAAGGAUAAUUACCCUCCAUCAUCCUUGUUUUUCCUCCGCCAAUGAUCUGCUGCCGUGGGAGCUGCCUCCAUUAAGGCAGAGCGGAACCGGAAGCCUCAGCCCCACUAUAAAGUACAGCUGUGCUGUGAGUGCCUCCCUUGCCACACUUUGUCAUAUGUCAUAUGUCUGACCCAUAUUACUCCCCUCACAACAGCAGGAAAGGAGUGCUAUCCCUCCCACACAGGAGAGACAUCCAUCCUCCCCCCAUGCUGGUAAGCUCCAGUCCAUUCCCAGUAACUGGGGUACCAAACAGAGCAUCUCACACAGGUGGAAAAGAGGGGAGGCAUGACACUUCCUGCAACAUAUAACCCCUAUUGCCAUCUUGCAUGCUUCAUCCAUGCACCACUUUCUUUACCAAAUGUGGAAAACUUGUUUUCUUCUUCUUCCACUCUAUCGCUCUAACACUCUUCUUCCUGCACCGCCAGAGGUUGGACUAGAUGACCCUUGGGGUCCCUUCCAACUCUAUGAUUCUUGCCUUUCAGAUCACACAAGGGAGGUGCUGCAUCCAGUAUGCAGUUAAGCUCUGCUGGCAAAGGUGUCAGAGGAGAAAUAGUGGAGACCACCUCCCUAGCCUGACCCUUCCAGAGAAGAAGAAGACAGUUCAGAAUUACAA